rnacentral:rRNA from 1 species
AGUGAACGCUGGCGGUAGGCCUAACACAUGCAAGUCGAACGGCAGCACAGUAAGAGCUUGCUCUUACGGGUGGCGAGUGGCGGACGGGUGAGGAAUACAUCGGAAUCUACUUUUUCGUGGGGGAAAACGUAGGGAAACUUACGCUAAUACCGCAUACGACCUACGGGUGAAAGCAGGGGAUCUUCGGACCUUGCGCGAUUGAAUGAGCCGAUGUCGGAUUAGCUAGUUGGCGGGGUAAAGGCCCACCAAGGCGACGAUCCGUAGCUGGUCUGAGAGGAUGGUCAGCCACGCUGGAACUGAGACACGGUCCAGACCCCUACGGGAGGCAGCGGUGGGGAAUAUUGGACAAUGGGCGCAAGCCUGAUCCAGCCAUACCGCGUGGGGGAAGAAGGCCUUCGGGUUGUAAAGCCCUUUUGUUGGGAAAGAAAAGCAGCAGGUUAAUACCCCGCUGUUCUGACGGUACCCAAAGAAUAAGCACCGGCUAACUUCGUG